rnacentral:rRNA from 1 species
GGUUAAGCGACUAAGCGUACACGGUGGAUGCCCUGGCAGUCAGAGGCGAUGAAGGGCGUGCUAAUCUGCGAUAAGCGCCGGUAAGGUGAUAUGAACCGUUAUAACCGGCGAUACCCGAAUGGGGAAACCCAGUGUGAUUCGUCACACUAUCAUUAACUGAAUCCAUAGGUUAAUGAGGCGAACCGGGGGAACUGAAACAUCUAAGUACCCCGAGGAAAAGAAAUCAACCGAGAUUCCCCCAGUAGCGGCGAGCGAACGGGGAGGAGCCCAGAGCCUGAAUCAGCAUGUGUGUUAGUGGAAGCGUCUGGAAAGGCGCGCGAUACAGGGUGACAGCCCCGUACACAAAAGCGCAUAUGCUGUGAGCUCGAUGAGUAGGGCGGGACACGUGGUAUCCUGUCUGAAUAUGGGGGGACCAUCCUCCAAGGCUAAAUACUCCUGACUGACCGAUAGUGAACCAGUACCGUGAGGGAAAGGCGAAAAGAACCCCGGCGAGGGGAGUGAAAAAGAACCUGAAACCGUGUACGUACAAGCAGUGGGAGCCCCACCACUAAGCCAGUGGUGAACUCCACAUACGCAUCCUUUGCUGAGGAGACGGUUAACGGAGCGAAAGCGACGUUCAACCUCAAAAGAAGCAGAGGGGGCUUAGUGGUGGGGUGACUGCGUACCUUUUGUAUAAUGGGUCAGCGACUUAUAUUCUGUAGCAAGGUUAACUGUAUAGGGGAGCCGGAGGGAAACCGAGUCUUAACCGGGCGUUAAGUUGCAGGGUAUAGACCCGAAACCCGGUGAUCUAGCCAUGGGCAGGUUGAAGGUUGGGUAACACUAACUGGAGGACCGAACCGACUAAUGUUGAAAAAUUAGCGGAUGACCUGUGGCUGGGGGUGAAAGGCCAAUCAAACCGGGAGAUAGCUGGUUCUCCCCGAAAGCUAUUUAGGUAGCGCCUCGUGAAUUCAUCUCCGGGGGUAGAGCACUGUUUCGGCUAGGGGGCCAUCCCGGCUUACCAACCCGAUGCAAACUGCGAAUACCGGAGAAUGUUAUCACGGGAGACACACGGCGGGUGCUAAUGUCCGUCGUGAAGAGGGAAACAACCCAGACCGCCAGCUAAGGUCCCAAAGUCAUGGUUAAGUGGGAAACGAUGUGGGAAGGCCCAGACAGCCAGGAUGUUGGCUUAGAAGCAGCCAUCAUUUAAAGAAAGCGUAAUAGCUCACUGGUCGAGUCGGCCUGCGCGGAAGAUGUAACGGGGCUAAACCAUGCACCGAAGCUGCGGCAGCGACACCGUGUGUUGUUGGGUAGGGGAGCGUUCUGUAAGCCUGUGAAGGUGUGCUGUGAGGCAUGCUGGAGGUAUCAGAAGUGCGAAUGCUGACAUAAGUAACGAUAAAGCGGGUGAAAAGCCCGCUCGCCGGAAGACCAAGGGUUCCUGUCCAACGUUAAUCGGGGCAGGGUGAGUCGACCCCUAAGGCGAGGCCGAAAGGCGUAGUCGAUGGGAAACGGGUUAAUAUUCCCGUACUUGGUGUUACUGCGAAGGGGGGACGGAGAAGGCUAUGUUGGCCGGGCGACGGUUGUCCCGGUUUAAGCGUGUAGGUAUGUGUUCCAGGUAAAUCCGGUUCACUUUAACACUGAGGCGUGACGACGAGGCACUACGGUGCUGAAGCAACAAAUGCCCUGCUUCCAGGAAAAGCCUCUAAGCAUCAGGUAACAUCAAAUCGUACCCCAAACCGACACAGGUGGUCAGGUAGAGAAUACCAAGGCGCUUGAGAGAACUCGGGUGAAGGAACUAGGCAAAAUGGUGCCGUAACUUCGGGAGAAGGCACGCUGACACGUAGGU